rnacentral:lncRNA from 1 species
AACUGUGUUCUCUGAAGUUGAAGAGGAGACCGGGGAAUGCUCUGAGAAUAGUGACUUAACUAUAUUUAGAAGAGUUGGGGGAGAGCAUAGGAGUGGGAUAGAAAUGAACGGACUCCUCACUGUCACAGUGGGAAGUCGACAGCACUAAGGUUGCUAAAUUAAUAAACAGCAACUUAUUCAGAAACGUGGAGGUAACCACCAAGUGAAUUCUAAACAGAAGUGCUUAAAAUGUGUCUCAGGGGAGCAGGACUACGUGCGGGGAAGGAUGGCGCAGGUGACAGGAUCCUCUUGGCACUGGGGGCCCUGGAACAAGUCCCAUCUCUCCCAUUUGCUGUCUUCAGAAAGAGCUGCAGUUACAUGCUUGCUACUCAAAGUGGUCAGGCGGGUGGACUUCUCUCAGGGUCCUUGGACCAAUGCUGAGAAGAGACUUACCCACAUCUUGCGUAUGUGGUUCCAUCCAUUUCCCGGCAUUGGGUCUCCAUUCAGGAGUGUGCCAGAGCCAGCUCAUAGUGGUUCCCAAGAGCCAGUUGUUAUAUUUCUGGAAUUGUGCGAGCUGGUUGAUAUUAUGUUGGUAGCUUGAAAUCAGCUAUCGUGGGAGGAUUUUACAGCAUGGAAGCUGACAAACGCUGCCAGUCAGGGCUCUGCUCCACUCUCAGCCCAUCGUUCAACAUUUACCAGCACUUCACUGUCCCCAUCUGCCCACUUCAUGCCUGGAAGCCUCCUGAAGAUGUUUAUAUGAAAGCUCACACUUAAUUUUCAGUUCUAAACAUCCUUUAAAUAUACUUAAUGAAUUUUUAAUAAAUAUCUUUGCAAACUUGAAUGCUUUGUAUCAAUUUUGCGGUAACUCUGGGCCAAAAGCCUAAAGAGAACAAAUGGGUUCUUUGUGCAUCAACCCCCCACUUCGCUACAGUGCUUGAACCCCCUUGUUUUCCACACUCACUGCUGUGCUCUUAUCUCACAUGGAGCCUGUAGCUAGGACCUCCUAUCUGGUUUCCCUGCCUCCAGCCUCCCCGUCCCCCAGCCCACCCUCCAUACCUCUGCCUCGUCAAUCUUUUGCAAGCCCUGCCUCUGGUCACGCAGAGACUCCACACUGGCUCCCAACAGAGAUCGAAUUCCUGACCUGGCGCUCCGGCCUGCACCUGCCUUUGGACCUGGGCUACAGGGAGCCCAAGAGAUGAACUUGGACUGGGGCUGGUCUUUGCUCCCAUGUGGUUCCCUCUCCCCAGAAGGCCCCCCUCCACCCCAUCUCUUCUGAAACCCAGUUUAAGUGGCAUUUCAUCCAUGAUACUGUCCCUAAUCCCCAUUGCCCAGCCAGAGGUGACCCCAGUCGCCCUUGGACCUCUUAGAAUACUUUGGUUGUG